GAUGAACGCUGGCGGCGUGCCUAAUACAUGCAAGUCGAGCGAACUUUUGGGAGCUUGCUCCCAAAAGUUAGCGGCGGACGGGUGAGUAACACGUGGGUAACCUUCCUGUAAGACUGUGAUAACUUCGGGAAACCGGAGCUAAUACCGGAUAACAUUGAAGGCCACAUGGCCUUCAAUUAAAAUGUGGCUUUUAGCUACCACUUACAGAUGGACCCGCGGCGCAUUAGCUAGUUGGUGAGGUAACGGCUCACCAAGGCUACGAUGCGUAGCCGACCUGGGAGGGUGGACGGCCAACCUGGGAAUGAGAAACCGCUCAGACUUCUAAGGGAGGCAGCAGUAGGGGAUCAUCCGCAAUGGACGAAAGGCUGACGGCACCAAGCCGCGUGAGCGAAGAAAGCCUUCGGGAUGUAAAGCUCUGUUGUUAGGGAAGAAAAAGUAUCGUGCGAAUAGCGCGCUAUCUUGACGGUACCUAAACAGAAAGCAACGGCUAACUACGUG
rnacentral:rRNA from 1 species